GGGAGGAUUUAGGAAUUUUUAGAGAGGAAAAAAUAAAUCAGUCACCUGUAGAAGAAGAGAGAUAAAACUGACAUUAGAUUUCUCAUUAGCAUCACCGGAGCAAAUCCUGAAAACUCCUUAGGGAAAUUACUUUUUCUUUUGAGAUUUAUUAUGGAAAAUUCCAAACAUCAACAAAACUUGAAAGCAUCGUAUACCGGAUGCACUGUGUCCAUCACCAAGGGUCGUCAAUUGAUGGCCAAAUUUGGUUCAUCUACACUCCUACUGACCACCCUCUCUCCCGGUGCCUUGGUUAUUUUGAGGCAAAUUCCAGGCAUCUUAGCAUUUCAUCUGUAACUAUUUAAGUGUGUAUCUCUAAAAGGUAAGGAUUCUUAGGGAGACACAAACUACAGUACCGUUUUCAUGCCUAAAACUGCUGACAAUAAUUGUUCAGUACCAGCAAGUAUUCAGAUGUUGCUCAUUGUUUCAUAAAUGUGUGUGUGUGUGUAUUUUAAUAGAUGGUUUAAAUCAGGAUCCAAGUAAGGUCCAUACAUUGCAAUUUGUUGAUCUCGUCUUUUUUACAUCUUUAUGGCCCCCAAAUCUUAUUUUUUCCCGUGGGAAAAAUUUGUUGGAGUGUCUGGGUCCUUUGUCCGGCCGAGGUUCCCACAGUCUGGACUUUGCUGAGUGUGGACGUGUUGUGUUAUUCCCGUGUUUACCCCACGUGUUUGAAAAUUGAUAGAUCAAGAGCCUUGAUCAAAUUCAGGUUUCUUUCCCCUACCCCACCCCACCCCACAGACUAUUUCAUUAUUAGUAGUGUGUACUUCUGUCAGGAGCAACAUAUGUGUCUGGAUGUCUCUUCUGUUGUGAUGUUAGCACUAUUGAUUAUUGCACAGAUCCGAUCAUUCACCAGGUGGUACAAAAUGGGAAUCUAUCAUUUCUUCCUCCUGUAUUAGCGACACUCUUCCCCAAAUAGAAGCUUUCUCUCAUCAACUGUUUCACACCUGGAGGUACAGUUGGUGUUGGCAAGGCAGAAAAAAAAUGCUUUAACUUUUUCUUUUUAAAAUAAGUUAAUGAGGAGUUCCUGCUGUGGCACAGUGGGAUCAGCGGCAUCUCUGGAGCACUGGGAUGCAGGCUUGAUCCCCAGCCCGGCACAGUGGUUUAAGGAUCUGGCACUGCCACCGCUGCUGCAUAGGUGGCAACUGCAGCUCGGAUCUAAUCCUGGCCUUGGAACUCCAUAUGCCUCAGGGUGGCCAAAAAAAAAGUUAUUUUUUUCCAACUUUAUGAAGAUAUAAUUGACAUAUAAUACCAUGCGAGUGUAAGGUGUACAAUGUGAUGAUUUGAUACAGAUAUGUAUUUCAAAAUAAUUACCACAAUAAGGGUAGUGAACACAUCCGGCAACUCAGGUAAUUGCCAUUAUUAACUUUUGUGGUGAAAACGUUUAAAAUCUACUCUCUUAGCAACUUUCACACAUACACUACAGUGUUGUUAAUGAUAGUAUGUUAGAUCCCCAGAAUUUAUUCAUCUUAUAACUAGAAGUUUUUACCCUUUGAUCCGCGUCUCUGUAUUUCCCCAGCGCCCAGCUCUGGCAACCAAGAGGCUGCUCUGUUUCUGAGUUAGUCGUUUUUCUUUAGUUUUCUCUAGCAUCCUCUACGGAUUUCAAAGAGUUGGUUUUUUGAGGCUCAUUUUAAGUCCCUGCAGUUACUAUUCUUAUUUUUUUUUAUAAUGAUUUUUAUUUUUCCCACAUGGCCUUUUUUUUUUUUUUAAAGAUUUUAUUUUAUUUUAUUUUAUUUUAUUUUGUCUUUUGUUGUUGUUGUUGCUGUUGUUGCUAUUUCUUGGGCCGCUCCCGCGGCAUAUGGAGGUUCCCAGGCUAGGGGUCUAAUCGGAGCUGUAGCCACCGGCCUACGCCAGAGCCACAGCAACGCGGGAUCCGAGCCGCGUCUGCGACCUACACCACAGCUCACGGCAACGCCGGAUCCUUAACCCACUGAGCAAGGGCAGGGACCGAACCCGCAACCUCAUGGUUCCUAGUCGGAUUCGUUAACCACUGCGCCACGAUGGGAACUCCUACUAUUCUUAUUAAUACUCAUAUUGUCCCAUCCUUAGCUAAUGGGAGCCUCUUGAAGUUGGUUCCAUUAUCCCUUUACUCAACAGUAACACUCAUUAAUAGCUUCCUUAACUUCAUACGACAAGAUGUCCCAGGCUUACCUUGAAAAUUUCCUACCCCAAACUGGUAACCAGCCAAAUUCUCCAAAAGCCCCGAUUCCUUUGGUGGAAAUGAUAUUUAGGAACCACCGUUUGGUUGCUGGGGUGCUCAGUGCCACUAGGUUGAUUUCCCACCCCACCCCCCACCAAGGAAGAAAUAAUUUCCUAUCUGGAAUUCUAGAUCCAGCUAAGCUAUUCUAGUUAGGAGGACAAAAAAUAUCUUUAGACAUGCAAGGAGUCAGAAAAUUGACCAUCCAUUCUCCGCGGUAGGAAGCAUGUCAGAAAUAGAAAGAAUCAAUCAAGAAAGAGAAAGAUUUGGAAUGUAGGAAAUAGUGGAGCCAGUCCCAGGCAAAGAGCUGCCCAGACCAACAGCGAUACAUCAGUCUGGAGGAUGGGUAGCUUCAGAAAUAGAUCUCUCUGGUAAAGGGGAAAACAAGUAGAAAAUAUGACCACGUGGUUGGGUGUGGAAGAGCCGAGCCGCGGUGAAAAGCAGGUCAGCACGUAAAAACUGACCUUGGCUGGGAACAAAGUGGGGCAUCUCAGGGACCUUAGGUGAAUUCCCUUCGGGCACAGAUUGGAUCAGGGAGGAAGCUGGGUCUUAGCUCCCCCCUUGAGACACAGAGUGAAUGUUGGUGUCCCUUCCCAUGUCUGAUGGCCAAAGUGGGUACACUGAGGCUCUGGGCAGGUUUUAUUUUGUAAUUUCUUUCUUUCUUUUUAAACUUUGAAGUUAGGUCUUCAUUUGUAUCUUGGAACAUCCUGAACAUACCUAUUUAGGUUCUUGACAUACUGUCCCUUAAAUGUAAUUUCUUUUUUUUUGGUGUGUGUGUCUUUUUGCUAUUUCUUGGGCUGCUCCCGCGGCAUAUGGAGGUUCCCAGGCUAGGGGUCCAAUCGGAGCUGUAGUCCCCAGCCUACACCAGAGCCACAGCAACGCAGGAUCCGAGCCGCGUCUGCAACCUACACCACAGCUCACGGCAACGCCGGAUCAUUAACCCACUGAGCAAGGGCAGGGACCGAACCCGCAACCUCAUGGUUCCUAGUCGGAUUCGUUAGCCACUGCGCCACGACGGGAACUCCUUAAAUGUAAUUUCUAUAUGGAGUGAAUUCAUGCUUUGACUACUAAAUGAACUAAUUGUUUUUCUCGACAUUAGAUUUCUUCAUAUUUUGAAAACGUACUUUGCAGCCAGGGUCAUUUUGAGUAGGAACAGUUUUUUCCCCCCAUUUAUUGGUUUUGAUUUGAUUUUGGCCCCCACUGGGUUCCACUCUCUCUUCCCUGGCCCCGCAGUCCAGCAGUUGUCAGUUACUUCUGUGGUAGCCAAGAGGUGGGACGACAGCGCUCUCAUGUGCUCUGUGGUGAUACCACGUGUGCUGCAGACCAGGGAAGGAGGUUGCAUGUAGCUUGGCUGGACUCCUGGUCAGGAAGCUGGCUUUCUGUCCCCAUCACUUACCUCCCUAGGUCCUCAGCUCCCUGUAAUCCACCCUCCAGCACCAGAUGUGCAGCCCUGUUCCCAGCUCUGUUUCACCCAGUGAGUCUGCCUUGGGUCCUUUUCUCACAGGAGCCCUUGGGGUGUCCUCUCCCCACCCAGAACUGAGCUCCCAGGAUCUCCCACAAAUUUCCAGCUCUAGAGCCCAUGAGGCCUUUGCUUCUAAUUACAUUAUUUCUGCUUAUUUUUGGUCUAUAGAGAUGUUAACCUUGCUUUUUGAGGCUAGCUCUGUCUUUUUAAUGCUUCAUUUACAAUUUUAUCUUUCAUUACUUUGUGAUCCAAGCAAAGAGUUUGAAUGCAAAUUUGCUGUGAUAGCUUGCCCAAAUCAAUGUGAUUUUUAUUAUUUCCCCUUAACUCUAUUCCCUUUAUCCUAUUUGUCCAUUCCAUGUCCAUUCUCUUCUUUUUCUCCAAUAGAAUCUCUGUGUUGUGGGGGGAUACUAAUGUGCCCCAACUACAUUUCCCAGCCUCCCCUGUAGACACAAAUAGCCAAUUAGAUGUAAGGAAAAAAUUGUGUGGCUUCCAGGAAAGCUCUUUAAAAGGAGCUGAUUCAGCUGCAAGGUACAUCAUUUUGCUCAUUGACUCUUCUUUUUCUUAUGCCUGGAAUGCAGAUGUGAUGGCUAGGGGUCAGCUGCCAUUUUGGGACAAUGAAGUCACUUCAAAGAUGGAAGCCACAUGCUGGGAUGAAUGGCCCUGCAGAACAAGAGCAAGAGUCUGGGGUUCAAAUAGCAAGAACCAAGGUGGCCUGGGUGGUGGGGACAUAGCCAUAGCCUUUCCCUGUUUCCUAACUGGAAUUUCCCAGUUAGGAUGACCAAUUGGACACGUCAGCUGCUGGGACUCCAGCUGCUACUUCUAGGAGUCAUUUUUCAACUUGUCCUCUGUACCUACCUCAUUCUCUCAAGACUGGCUGAGCCUUGAUCAUGGGUGCAUUUCUUGGCUGCUGGCUUCUUUACCUGGCCCCUUUGGCAUCUAUGGUGGGACAUGGGCACUGCAUCCCAUUAAGACUCACAACAAAGGACUCCUCCCUAUAGAGUCAAAAACUAUAGGUAACAUCUGCUGUGGCCUUGUCGUAACUGAUACAUCUGGGAAGUCUUGGUGGGGAUUCCUUCCCCCUGACCAGGUGAACUAUGACUCUUUCCUAUUCCUACCAAGGUAGAUGAGGAAGAGAAGACAGGGACAGGCUCAGGUCUUGGCAGGUGUCCCUGCCUUUCCAGAAUUUUCUUAUUCUCCAUAAUCCAGGCUCUCGUGCAAAUCCUUGGAGGCCCCUUUUCUUUGAUCCUGGUUCUCGGACCCUGGCCUUAACCUCCAUCUCAUCCGUCACCUCUCCCCAGUUCUCCCAUCCCAAACCCAGUCCUUUACAACAUCCAGUGCACACAGGUGUGACUGCACUGUUCCUUCAAGGACUUCCUUUCCAGCUGGUCAGCCCAUUCUUAGAGGGCCUGGGCCAAGUGCCACCUACUUACUUCUGUCCCUCAGUGCAGGUCAGCUGAGAACUAUUCCUGGGACUGGUCAGGCUUUCCUGGACCACCUGGCCAAGAGGCUGAUGCUCCUGCUUUGUCCCCUUCAGGCUUUCUAGGCAGAAACGGCAACAUGCAGGCCAGGCAACCAAAAUGUGGAGGUCAUUUAUUUCCAUUUGUUGUGCUCAUUCGUGAAUCUGGUGGCUGUACAUUGCACGGCUUGCAGAAAACCCAGUGUCUCCAUGACUGUGUUUGCCAGCACAAUGCCCGAAGCAAUAGGAAGAUACACUUUCCUUUCCUCUACCUGCUAAAUAUCACAGUGCAUCUAACUGGCAGAGCCUAAUUUGAAUCCAGAAUCCUAGCAGCAAGGGAGUCUGGGAAAUGCAGCAUUUAGCUUUCCAGCCUCAGGAGUACAAGACACACUAGACGGAGUGAGAAUGGGUAUGCGUGCCCCCUCACCAUAUCCUUACCCCCUGUUGUCAAUAGGGGACCCUCACAGGAGGCUGCUUGUGGACACUGUGGUUUGUGGGAUGUGGCUUCCUAGUCCCCAGUGUUGAAAUGUGUCAGUCCUGCCCAGAACAUGGAUGAAGCUACAGGCCAAAGACCAGCAAACACUACAGUUUCCAUACACAGAAGGUUCUGGGUCUAUUUGUGUGAAUUAUCCCAGUUUUUGUGAGACUUGGUAUCUCUUCUGAGAGUGUCAUCAGAGAACUAAGGAACCUUAGCAGAAAGGUCAGAACACAUCUAUUCUUCUCCCACUGGACAAUAUUAACUACUUCAUCCAGAGGCUCUUCCUAAUGUUCUGGACCCUUGCAGUAGAAUCACAUGCAGAGUCUUCUCAUUGUAAAAAUCGAGGUGAAGGGAGUUCCUGCCGUGGCUCAGUGGUUAACGAAUCUGACUAGGAACCAUCAGGUUGUGGGUUCAAUCCCUGGCCUUGCUCCGUGGGUUAAGGAUCUGUCAUUGCCAUGAGCUGAGGGGUAGGUCGCAGACACGGCUUGGAUCUGGCGUGGCUGUGGUGUAGGCCAUCGGCUACAGCUCUGAUUCGACCUCUAGUCUGGAAACCUCCAUAUGCUGUGGGUAUGGUCCUAAAAAGGACAAAAGACCAAAAAAAAAAAAAAAAAGAAAAAAA
rnacentral:lncRNA from 1 species